rnacentral:rRNA from 1 species
GACGAACGCUGGCGGCGUGCUUAACACAUGCAAGUCGAACGGACAGGCUCCAGCUUGCUGGAGUACUCGAGUUGCGAACGGGUGAGUAACACGUGGGUGAUCUGCCCUGCACUUCGGGAUAAGCCUGGGAAACUGGGUCUAAUACCGGAUAGGACCGCACUUUGGUGUGUGUGCUGGAAAGGUUUUUCUGGUGUGGGAUGAGCUCGCGGCCUAUCAGUUUGGUGGUGGGGUAAUGGCCUACCAAGACGGCGGCGGGUAGCCGGACUGAGAGGGUGGACGGGCACAUUGGGACUGAGACACGGCCCAGACGCCUACGGGAGGGAGCAGUGGGGAAUAUUGCAAAAGGGGGGAGACCCUGAUGCAGAGACGCCGCGUGGGGGAUGAAGGCCUUCGGGUUGGAAACGCCAUUCGCUAGGGACGAAGCUUUUUGUGACGGUACCUGGAGAAGAAGCACCGGCUAACUACGUG